rnacentral:rRNA from 1 species
GAUGAACGCUGGCGGCGUGCCUAAUACAUGCAAGUCGAGCGAACAGAUGAGGAGCUUGCUCCUCUGCCGUUAGCGGCGGACGGGUGAGUAACACGUGGAUAACCUACCUAUAAGACUGGGAUAACUUCGGGAAACCGGAGAUAAUACCGGAUAAUAUAUUGAACCGCAUGGAUCAAUAGUGAAAGACGGUUUUGCUGUCACUUAUAGAUGGUUCCGCGCCGCAUUAGCUAGUUGGUAAGGUAACGGCUUACCAAGGCAACGAUGCGUAGCCGACCUGAGAGGGUGAUCAGCCACACUGGAACUGAGACACGGUCCAGACUCCUACGGGAGGCAGCAGUAGGGAAUCUUCCGCAAUGGGCGAAAGCCUGACGGAGCAACGCCGCGUGAGUGAUGAAGGUCUUCGGAUCGUAAAACUCUGUUAUUAGGGAAGAACAAAUGUGUAAGUAACUAUGCACGUCUUGACGGUACCUAAUCAGAAAGCCACGGCUAACUACGUG